rnacentral:misc_RNA from 1 species
UUUGUAAGAGGUAAGGAAGAACCGUCUUACUACAUUUUGAUUUUUUUUUUUAUAUAUCUGGAUAAUGCCUCAAUGACUGCUAACCGAUGAAAGUUAAAUACUUUCAUUUAGCUGGGCCCUAGACAUGAAUGUGGACUAGGUAGACCAUAACUUCGUUAUCAAUAAUAGUUAACUUAAUAGUAAUACUGACUCUGAGUGACUGACUACGGUUGGUGACAAAAGUCAUCAUAACUUAAGCGUGUAUGAGGGAAGUGGAUGAUUCUGUGUUGGCAAUGAUUAAUUAUCUAACCCAUAAACUACGAACUCAAUCCCUGAAUGAAAGCGAUCCAUUUCAGUGUAAGCCACAAGAAGACAAUGACAGAGACUCUGGUACAGAAUCUGACGAUGAAGGAGAUGUGGUUGAAGAACUUCAAAAAUACAUGGAAAAUAGGAUGCAUUACAAAGAAAGAAAAGACCAACAUCAAUUUGUGGAAACUCUUGUUGCAGAAACAGGCGAGUGCAAAGACACUAUUUGUGAGUUAAGGCGCGAAUUGUACCAAAUCUCAAAGACGGAGGUGGACAGACCAUUACCAGAGCCCAUCUUUGACUCUGCUUUUCCCCGUGACAGUGACCAUAAUUUGGAACCACAUAGCUCUGAGGAUGAGCUGGGAGUGAUAAACUGUACCAAUAACCUGGUCAGCAGGGGAAGAAGUAGUAGUACCUAUCCUGAGAAAAGAAAGUGGUCACAAGCAAACUGUCCUAGUUUUUUUGAAAACUCUGGCUCAUCUGAUGAUGAAAUACGGGACCUUUUAUGUUUUUCGGCUCCUGUGGAGUUUUGUGCUUCCCCACCUGCAAAUAUACACAAACCAAAUCAAUCUCUGUCUCCUCCCCUCAAAAUUUUGCACUUGACAACUGCCAACAUCCCGGCUCUUGAAUUAUGUUCAUCCUCUAACACCUCUUCAAGGAAGAAACAUCGACAAACUCUGACCAACAGCAAUGGCAGAAGUAACAUUCAUCGUCCAUGUCUGGAUUUUGAGAAGAUGCAACAGAUAAGAGUGCGGCUGUUGUGAGCCUAUUAUUGAUGCACGCAUGUACUUCGCAGUUGCCUUGUGCGGAAAGAGCCAAGCCUGCUGCCGGACAAUUCUUCGAGGUGAACUUUUGUUAGAAGAAAUGGCUGAUUUUACGAAUGAAAGGUACACGCUGACCGAGGAUUUGCAAAAUUCCAUUUUCAUAAAAAGUCCGGAGAGUUAAGUCUUGGUAUUUUAUUCUAUAUUGUGAAUUAUUUCAAUUUUGCCGUUUUUGUAUGUAUGAAAAAAGCAAUUGAUUUGGGCUUCGGAAAUUUUCAGUUUUUCAUUAAAAGUCAUAAGAGUUAAACUUUGAUAUUAUACCCAAAUGUUUGUCUUUAUUUUUUCUGGAUAAAUUCAACAACCGCUGUUGAAGUUUAAAAAAAAAUCUGUGUGUUAUUAAGUCUUAAAUUUAAGCUUCGUAGGUAUUGUUUUAGUUUUAAUCGCCUUCAAAUUUCCACUUUCUUCUGCAUAAGUGAAAUAUUAGGUUAGAAUUUGUUAACAAAUCUAGCUUUAAAUUAAAAGUUAAUCUUAAUUGCUUUGCGUAAAUUAUUUCAACUCUUUAUUUUGACUUUUUCUGUAGGAAAGAUACAAUUGUCUUCAGAAUAUCAAAAAUCCAUUUAUUUAUUUUUUCAUAAAAUUUUAAAGGGAUAAAUAGGAGUUUAUUAACCCAUCAAGAAUGUCCCUUCCAGCUUCCAACUUUAACCACCCUUUACUACUCAUGUAUUCAUCCAAUCGUUUCUUGAACUCAGUUAAA